GCCCAGGUGGCGGAAUUGGUAGACGCGCGGGACUUAAAAUCCCGUGAGCAGUAAUGCUCGUGCCGGUUCGAGACCGGCCCCGGGUA
rnacentral:tRNA from 1 species